AGGUAACAUCUUAAAAAAACAAAUAGUGUAAGUUCUGUGAUUAUUUUUUUUAGAUUGAAUACAAGGAAUUAUACUGACAGUAACAUUUUUAUAUUAAGUAUAGAAUAUUAAAUUAAUCAGUUAACUUUAAAUUCUACCAUUUGGGUAGAAUUUAAUCUUACUACGAAAAAAGCAAUUUACGUGUAAAAAAUCAACGGUACCUUUUAAAAAUCAACAUUUAAAACUAAUAUUUUGGUAGGAACUUUAAUAAAAUUAAAAAAAAUCCCAAUGUGUGAAAAACAUCUGUAGGUUUUUUUUUAAAUAGUAUAAAAUUUCUACCGGCUACCUGUAGAAAUUAUUAAAUAGAUUGUUACCAAAUGAGAUACAUUUUGACUAUUCAAUUAUUCAAAAGAUCUUUUAAGAAAUCUUACUUGUACAAGCAUUUUUUGUGGUCGAAUUUUUAGUUUGGGGCUUCCAUUAUAGUAUAUCAAAACCAAUUUAAACUUUUUUAAACAUUUUGUUUCCGACAUAUUAGAAAAAAAUUGCUAUGGCUUUGAAAUCAAGUCUUUUAAGCCUAAAAAUGCAUUUUUAUUAAGUGUUGCCAUAAUAUAAGAUUUUUAUGUUAUAUUUUCUAGUGUACUUAUACAUUUAUGGAAUAUUUUUGCAGUGCAUCGCUUAUUAAUCAUGAUCCUUAGAAAACCCUUCGACUUAACCACUACAUUAUAAUAACUAAUUCUCGAAUACUAAAUCAUUGGUUUACACUAUCGGCCAAAAAAUUAACACACAUUUCUAAAAACCUACCAUAUUUAGAGUAUACACCAAUAACUUUUCAUUAUUUUCAUUUUCACUUUCAUUUUGCUUUUCAUUUCAUUAGCAUAAAAAAUCGGGUCAAUUGUAAUUCAAUACUUAACGCAUUUAAACAAUUUAAUGUUUAAAAAAAAUUUUAUCAAGUUUUCAAAAAUAUCCAUUAUCUAUAGAAAUAGCAAUUAAUAAUAAUAAUAAUUGGUCAUAAUAUUAUUUAUUAGAGUACAUGUGAUGCGCGGCUUUGCCAUGCAGUUGAGUUAUUUGUAACUUAAGUAUAACGUUCACACAUUGAUUCAUAUUCUCAAGUAAUAAAGUUAAAAAAAACCCGGACACCUAUUUUUGUGGCGUAGGUCAAGAACAAUGCAUUUUUCCAUAUUUAAAUAACUUUAAAUAUGCAAAAAAGUUUGCUUGUCACGAAUACUAAUAAAGUUGCAUUAUUUUGAAUAUAAUAUAAUUAAUUAUACUACUUUCAAACAGAUUAGGAGAAUGCAUAGUUUUUAUACUAAUAAUACUUAUAUUGCAAGUUGAAAAUUAAUUGAUAAACUAAAUCUAAAGCUAUGGCUGAAAUUAGCCUCUUUGUAGUAGAUUAUCGAUAUAAAUUUUAUUUAGUGCAUCCUUACAAUUCUAAAGACAAUUUUAUGUUAAACGAUUCAAUCUUUCUUCAGAGUUUAAUUCUCUGUACCUUACCUGUUAGUCAGUCAAGCAACUAUAAAAUACACCAACAACUUUUUAACUACCAUAAUUUGUUUACUUUAAUUUAAAAAUGUAUAGGCAAAACGAGAUAAUCCAUAAGAUAAUUGAAAUGAAUAAACUGCCAUCCUACUUCUGAUGUAGGCACUUCUAAUGAUUAUUAAGAUUGAAGCAUGAUCUAACCACUAGUAAACCUGGAUAAUAACUCAGUGGAUUCCUCAGAAUAGCAACCUUUAGAUUAACCGAGCCUUCGUGGGCGCACUAACGAUAUUUUGGACUAUCAAAUGACAUUGAACUACCCUGAACAACAACCAUGAUAACUCUCAGACACUGCACGUGAAAACUACCAGCGUACCUAGGUAAACCUAAUCUAACCUACCUAGACCGGCUCCUCCGACCCUACACCGGUCCCAAACCAACCAUCUAACCUAACCACCACAAUAACAACUCGUCCAACCAACAGCACCACUUUAGGUAACCACUACCCUAAAACCUACAGUACGACACACCGUAUCUACUGAGAACCUCCUCGGAUCGAAGCCAGAACAAGAAUUAAUCGCCAAUCGCUACGCUAAUAUUCUGAUAAUCAAAUGCGAGAGUGAAAUCUGAACACAGCAACGCGUGCCGACCAAAAUCCAACUCUGACAGUGACAGCUAAACAAAUAUGGCUGAGUACCUUCACGUAACGUUACUUUUCAUGGAGUCGUCUAUGACAUUAAAACCUCUUUUUAAUAUUGACUCGACGACAAAUGUUUUGUUUUUAGUUUGUUUUGUUUUCAAAAUAUAAAUGUGUAGAAAUACUGUAUCUACUUACGCUACGAAUAACUAAGUAAUGUCAACGCCGCGCGUCACAUGUAUGAUUACAAUAUUUUGAAAAAUUAUCUGGUUUUUUUAAAAUCAAUACUUUAUCUAUUUAAAUUUUUUUUAAGGGCUUAUAAACGUGUUAAGUAUCGAAUUCAGCAAAGUAGAUUUUUUAUGGUAAUUAACAAGUGGUGCAUAUACUAUAAGAUAACAUUUAAACUGUUAAACCAUCACAGGUAAAUUAUCAGGAAUCUACUAUAAAAACGAAUUUUUUUCUUUUUAAUUUAUUAUUAAUAUUAUCUAAAGAAGAUAACUUGAAAUAAAGCAUUUUAAAACGACACUCCAUUUUUCUGGCCAGUAGUGUAAACCUACGCCUAACCUAUACAAUCAAAUGUAAUGUAAUAGGCAAUAAAUAUGCUACAAGAGUUGAAAUGGAAAUAAUAUUUAGCCACACCGUCUCUACAACACUUUGAGCUUCAUGUCAUUGAAAAAUCAUCUAUCAGUUUACUCAACAAUAUUGAAAAAAAAUCCAAAUAUCACAUGUGGAUGUCAUCAAGUCUUAUUUAAGACAUUAGGUUCGUACAAAAAUGCCAAAAACAAUUACUCAGCAUCAAAAUAAUCAAUUAUAGUCUGAUUUUUUAAUUCCGUGGAAUUCUGACGUUUCGCAAUGUUAGAGAUAAAACAGUUCUGACUAAAAAGAUGUUACCUUUUUUGUAAUCAUUCAAAUGAAAUAAAAAUGAGGCCAUGGAUCAAAUUUAUAAAAACCUAAGCUUUAAUUUGUUAGUUAAUAAAGCACUAUUUCAAUUUCAAGUGACACGUUUUCUUUCUUACUAAAAAUAAAGCAUUAUUUUCGACACUUGCAUAAAUUAAAAAAAAAAUGUUGAUUAAGUUUUACAAAAGUCUCUAAGUAUCUAUUGAAUAAAUUAUUUUUGAUAUGCCGAGGGUUUAGGUUAAUUUAGGGUAAAAUCGAACCUCAGAUGGCAACCCUGUUUUUCAUACAUUUGUAUGAAAUGUAUGAAACCAACCCACCCAAUGCAUAAAAUGACAACUGUCAGAAUUCCACUGAAUAUACAGUCAGACUAUGGAUCAGCUGUUUUGAGGCCGUCAUUUUAUAUCAAGAUUUUAAAGUACCAAGUAUAAUUAAUAGUGCCAUAGAUUAAAAGCUGUAUUUUUUACUAAUUACGUACAAUAAUCCGCUUCUCAGUACAUCUCCUCUUUAAUGGUAUCCAGCAAAGCGGAGAUGUCUUUAGCGGACCAAUCAGAUUUUAAUGAAA